UGGGGAAUAUUGCACAAUGGGCGCAAGCCUGAUGCAGCCAUGCCGCGUGUGUGAAGAAGGCCUUCGGGUUGUAAAGCACUUUCAGCGGGGAGGAAGGCGUUAAGGUUAAUAACCUUGGCGAUUGACGUUACCCGCAGAAGAAGCACCGGCUAACUCCGUGCCAGCAGCCGCGGUAAUACGGAGGGUGCAAGCGUUAAUCGGAAUUACUGGGCGUAAAGCGCACGCAGGCGGUCUGUCAAGUCGGAUGUGAAAUCCCCGGGCUCAACCUGGGGGCUGCAUUCGAAACUGGAAGGCUAGAGUCUUGUAGAGGGGGGUGGGAAUCCAGGUGUAGCGGUGAAAAGCGUAGAGAUCUGGAGGAAAACCAGUGGCGAAUGCGGCCCCCUGGACAAAGACAGACACUCCGGUGCGAAAACGUGGGGAGCAAACAGG
rnacentral:rRNA from 1 species